rnacentral:lncRNA from 1 species
GACCACACAUCGAUAAGGUUAUGUUGGCCACAUUUUUUAAUGAACAAACAAGAUUGUGUUUGUUGAUGUUGCUUAAAUCUAAAAUUGUAACAUUACAGAAGAUCAGAAGAAUUAGAAAAAAGCUUUCUUGCUGCAUUUUCUAAGUAGCAGUCUAUAAAUUUCAAUUUUUGCUGCUUUUGAUUAGGCAUUAAAUAUUACACAUCAGUACUAAAUAAGUUACCUAGAUUAAUUUAGAAUCCUUGUUUUCUAUUGCCUGCUAUAUAAAGAAAAUUCCAUUUUAGCUAUGGUCAUCAUUAACUUUGUGAUACAAAGGGAAAUUUAUAUGCUGUUCCCCUAACAGUAAUAUGCAAUGCCAGGUCAAUCCAAAAUUCAGUUUUCAUUUAUGCUCAAGUUUAUUAAUUUAUCCUGAAUUAGUUACAUAAUUUUUUUACUUGCGCCAUGUUUCUUUAGCUGAAAACAAGACCGUUUCAAAAUGCCUUGUAGAAUACUCCAUUUCCUUUCUCAUUUCCUCCCCCUGCACACACACAUUUUUUUUAAUUUGGAAAAUUUUUAAGUUGCUUUGAGGUAGAACUUCCUGGUCUUAAUGUAGGACACAACUGUAUCAGUAUUUGGAGUUUUCCCCUUUCUAGAUGCUUACAUCAUUUUUAAUACAAAAGUGUUACAUUUAUCUAGAUAUAUAUAUGCUAAGACCUUUAUUUGUGACAGCAUCUGUUGCUUCAUUAUUUACAGAAGUAUGCAUAAGAUGAUAGGUUGUGAUAAGAAAAAUUCAAAUUUCAUGACUUUUUAACCAGAAUUGUCUAAAAUUUUUCCGUUUGAACCUUUUAUAUCAUGAAGUAAAGCUUGUGAUAAAAUCUGUCUAUGCAUACCAACUGGCCCAGGUCCAGUGUUAUGAUUUUUUUUUUAAUACAUCAGAAUUUUAACUAGGCAUAUAAAAUCUUGAUGCAAAUGUACAAAUGUAUUUUUCUUUUGAAUUAGUAUAUACUGUAUCAUUUCUGCUCUUGAAAACUUCAAGAGUCUGUGCAUCCAUCUCAAGUAUAAUUUUGAAUUGUAAAAUACAUUUUCUUCAGACCAUUAAAGACCAUUUUUGUCUUUCCAUAAUUUUAUACAGCUGUUUUUGAAAAUGCAUGUUUCUUUCUUUUCCUAUAGCCACCAUUUGAAUCAGCCAAUAUAUUCCUUUUUGAUUUUUGUUUUAGUGAGGAUUAGUUAGGUUAGUCCAAGGUUACAGGCUAAUUUACAGUGCGAUUCUAGACCCAGAUCAUAGUUCAAAUUAGAACAAACAUGGUGCUUAGAUUCUAGAAACAUCCUAUGAAUGCUACGUUCAGAAAAGUCAUGUUAAGAGUAUUGAAAUAAUAUACAGAAUAUUGAAAUGGUGGAAUUAGGAUAGGGAGUUAAUGCAUGCGAUGCAUUAAAAUAAUAAAUGCUUAUAAUAAAUGCUUUUUAAGGUAUAUGACAUUUCUAUCCAAAUGAACAUCAUCCUUCACUUAGUAGGGCUAUUGUUGCUCAAAAAUGUUUCUGGAACUGACUUCAGAGCUUAUAAUAAAUGUUCUUUUGAAUAGCCUC